rnacentral:pre_miRNA from 1 species
UCCUAUGGAUGAGCAAAGAAAGUGGUUUUUGAGAUGGAGUCUACUUCUAAUGAAGAUGUUGUGAA